UCUCUCUCUCAUAUCUGACUUCAUACAACAUUACAACCUAUUCCCUCAAGUUCUUGAUUCACCGACGAUCAGUGACUACCGACCCUCCUCCGCCUUGCUCCGGUCACACUCCACCACUUCCUACUGCCCGACACCACCCAUUGCCGCCACUAUUUUGGUCGACCAAGCCCAACCUUGAACAUCUCCACAACCAUCCACUGUUGUUACUGUUUCUCUUCCUUGUCAAUCAUUGGAAAGACAGAAGCAGCAGAACUGAUAUGCAACCACCGCUCGUCACCGUUGCUGUGGUGGGUAGUCCCCAUCAUCACCGGUGCCAUCCCUCGCAUACCUCACCUCCUCCGUUCGAGCACCACUGCCGAAAGCCCUCCCCUGCACGACUGUUGCUGCUUAAAUUGCUCCCUCGGAAACGCCUUCCGUCCAUCCACUUUGUAGAUCACACCAACCACCACAUCAUCUUCUUCCUCACCGACUAUCGGUUCAAGGGCAAGCUGGAAGGGUAAUGGAGAGAAAACUAAACCAAAAUCAAUAACAAAACUCAAAUCAGUUUCCAGGUAAUCAAAGUGGUGGAUCUAAUGAAAUCUAAGGAAGAAAGAAGUGGAAACAAGAUCGGGAACCAAAUCGUAGUUUGCAUCUGGUGGUGGCUGACGAUUUGAUGGUAGAGAAGUGGGAAAUCAAACAUGUUUGCAUCUUCUAUUUUCAUACACAUGUUGUGGAUCGAUCCACUGAAAAAUGGGGAUUUUCACCAAUGGAUUUUGGGGGAAUGAGGCGGGGGAUGACGCCUAACAUCUUCCAUCACCGGGGACGGCUACGACGACACUGAUAAAGGGGUAGAAGAUGAUAAUUUGUAUUCUUCACGAGAGGGAGAGAGAGAGAGAGAGAGAGAGAGAGAGAGAGAGUCAUUCUCUAAU
rnacentral:lncRNA from 1 species